rnacentral:rRNA from 1 species
AACGAACGCUGGCGGCAUGCCUAACACAUGCAAGUCGAACGCUCCGCGAAGGGGAGUGGCGAACGGGUGAGUAACGCGUGGGAACCUGCCCAGUAGUUGGGGAUAACCGCGGGAAACUGCGGCUAAUACCGAAUACGCCCUAAGGGGGAAAGAUUUAUCGCUAUUGGAGGGGCCCGCGUCGGAUUAGCUGGUUGGUGAGGUAACGGCUCACCAAGGCGACGAUCCGUAGCUGGUCUGAGAGGAUGAUCAGCCACACUGGGACUUAGACACGGCCCAGACUCCUACGGGAGGCAGCAGUGGGGAAUAUUGGACAAUGGGGGCAACCCUGAUCCAGCAAUGCCGCGUGAGUGAUGAA